UGCCCUAGUAACGGCGAGUGAAGCGGCAAGAGCUCAAAUUUGAAAGCUGGCUCCUUCGGGGUCCGCAUUGUAAUUUGCAGAGGAUGCUUCGGGAGCGGUCCCCGUCUAAGUGCCCUGGAACGGGCCGUCAUAGAGGGUGAGAAUCCCGUAUGGGACGGGGUGUCCGCGCCCGUGUGAAGCUCCUUCGACGAGUCGAGUUGUUUGGGAAUGCAGCUCUAAAUGGGUGGUAAAUUUCAUCUAAAGCUAAAUAUUGGCCGGAGACCGAUAGCGCACAAGUAGAGUGAUCGAAAGAUGAAAAGCACUUUGAAAAGAGAGUUAAAAAGCACGUGAAAUUGUUGAAAGGGAAGCGCUUGCGACCAGACUCGCCUACGGGGUUCAGCCGGCAUUCGUGCCGGUGUACUUCCCCGUGGGCGGGCCAGCGUCGGUUUGGGCGGCCGGUCAAAGGCUCCCGGAAUGUAACGCCUCUCGGGGCGUCUUAUAGCCGGGGGUGCAAUGCGGCCUGCCUGGACCGAGGAACGCGCUUCGGCACGGACGCUGGCAUAAUGGUCGUAAGCGA
rnacentral:rRNA from 1 species